rnacentral:rRNA from 1 species
GGCGAGUGAAGCGGUAACAGCUCAAAUUUGAAAUCUGGCCUCACGGUCCGAGUUGUAAUUUGUAGAGGAUGCUUCGAGCAUGGUCUGGCCUAAGUUCCUUGGAACAGGACGUCAUAGAGGGUGAGAAUCCCGUAUGCGGCCAGGUGCCUACGCUCAUGUGAAGCUCCUUCGACGAGUCGAGUUGUUUGGGAAUGCAGCUCAAAAUGGGUGGUAAAUUUCAUCUAAAGCUAAAUAUUGGCCAGAGACCGAUAGCGCACAAGUAGAGUGAUCGAAAGAUGAAAAGCACUUUGGAAAGAGAGUUAAACAGUACGUGAAAUUGUUGAAAGGGAAGCGCUUGCAACCAGACUUGCGCGCGGCCGAUCAUCCGGUGUUCUCACCGGUGCACUCGGCCGUGCUCAGGCCAGCAUCGGUUUUGGCGGCUGGAUAAAGGCCCUAGGAAUGUAGCUCCUCUCGGGGAGUGUUAUAGCCUAGGGUGCAAUGCAGCCUGCUGGGACCGAGGACCGCGCUUCGGCUAGGAUGCUGGCGUAAUGGUUGUAAGCGGCCCGUCUUGAAACACGGACCAAGGAGUCUAACAUCUAUGCGAGUGUUUGGGUGUCAAACCCAUACGCGUAAUGAAAGUGAACGGAGGUGAGAACCCUUAAGGGUGCAUCAUCGACCGGUCCUGAAGUUUACGGAAGGAUCUGAGUAAGAGCAUAGCUGUUGGGACCCGAAAGAUGGUGAACUAUGCCUGAAUAGGGUGAAGCCAGAGGAAACUCUGGUGGAGGCUCGCAGCGGUUCUGACGUGCAAAUCGAUCGUCAAAUUUGGGUAUAGGGGCGAAAGACUAAUCGAACCAUUGACCUGUAGGAACACUACUAGGUGGUUUAAGAGGCGGCUAAAAGUGCCGUCUAGUCCCGACGCCGGGGCGACACUGUCAAAUUGCGGGAACAUCCUUAGAGCCUAGACUACCGCAGCCUUCCCGAAAGGGGGGUGCGCACCAGGGUAACGACCUCGGGUAUGGUAAUAACGUCUAGGAUUGGACAAUCCGCAGCCAAGCCCUACGGACCUCGGUCUAUGGGUGCAGUUCAUCGACUAGAUGGCAGUGGGUGGCAGCAAUGCCGCUUAAGAUAUAGUCAGACCCCCGGGAGACCGGGCGGCAGAACGAAGACCGUGGGGGGCGUCCUCUCUGAGAGCCCCGCGGUCCCGAGUCUGCUGGUGGCGC